UACGGAGGGUGCGAGCGUUGUCCGGAAUCAUUGGGCGUAAAGGGCGCGUAGGUGGCCCGGUCAGUCCGUGGUGAAAGCGCGGGGCUCAACCCCGCGUCGGCCAUGGAUACUGCUGGGCUGGAGCACUGUAGAGGCAGGCGGAAUUCCGGGUGUAGCGGUGAAAUGCGCAGAUAUCAGGAGGAACACCAGCGGCGAAGGCGGCGCUCUGGGCUGGCACUGACGCUGAGGAGCGAAAGCGUGGGGAGCGAACAGG
rnacentral:rRNA from 1 species